CUUAGGCGUGUGACUGCGUACCUUUUGUAUAAUGGGUCAGCGACUUAUAUUCUGUAGCAAGGUUAACCGAAUAGGGGAGCCGAAGGGAAACCGAGUCUUAACUGGGCGUUAAGUUGCAGGGUAUAGACCCGAAACCCGGUGAUCUAGCCAUGGGCAGGUUGAAGGUUGGGUAACACUAACUGGAGGACCGAACCGACUAAUGUUGAAAAAUUAGCGGAUGACUUGUGGCUGGGGGUGAAAGGCCAAUCAAACCGGGAGAUAGCUGGUUCUCCCCGAAAGCUAUUUAGGUAGCGCCUCGUGAAUUCAUCUCCGGGGGUAGAGCACUGUUUCGGCAAGGGGGUCAUCCCGACUUACCAACCCGAUGCAAACUGCGAAUACCGGAGAAUGUUAUCACGGGAGACACACGGCGGGUGCUAACGUCCGUCGUGAAGAGGGAAACAACCCAGACCGCCAGCUAAGGUCCCAAAGUCAUGGUUAAGUGGGAAACGAUGUGGGAAGGCCCAGACAGCCAGGAUGUUGGCUUAGAAGCAGCCAUCAUUUAAAGAAAGCGUAAUAGCUCACUGGUCGAGUCGGCCUGCGCGGAAGAUGUAACGGGGCUAAACCAUGCACCGAAGCUGCGGCAGCGACGCUUAUGCGUUGUUGGGUAGGGGAGCGUUCUGUAAGCCUGCGAAGGUGUGCUGUGAGGCAUGCUGGAGGUAUCAGAAGUGCGAAUGCUGACAUAAGUAACGAUAAAGCGGGUGAAAAGCCCGCUCGCCGGAAGACCAAGGGUUCCUGUC
rnacentral:rRNA from 1 species